AGAGUUUGAUCAUGGCUCAGGAUGAACGCUAGCGGCAGGCUUAAUACAUGCAAGUCGAGGGGCAGCGGGUGUAGCAAUACAUGCCGGCGACCGGCGCACGGGUGCGUAACGCGUAUGUAACCUACCUUUAACUGGAGGAUAGCCCCGAGAAAUCGGGAUUAAUACUCCAUAAAAUUAUGAGAAGGCAUCUUUUUAUAAUUAAAGCUCCGGCGGUUUUAGAUGGGCAUGCGUGACAUUAGCUAGUUGGUGAGGUAACGGCUCACCAAGGCUCCGAUGUCUAGGGGUUCUGAGAGGAUUACCCCCCACACUGGUACUGAGACACGGACCAGACUCCUACGGGAGGCAGCAGUAAGGAACAUUGGGCAAUGGACGCAAGUCUGACCCAGCCAUGCCGCGUGAAGGAUGACGGCCCUAUGGGUUGUAAACUUCUUUUGUACGGGAAAAAACCUUCGAACGUGUUCGAAGCUGAUGGUACCGUAAGAAUAAGCAUCGGCUAACUCCGUG
rnacentral:rRNA from 1 species